rnacentral:tRNA from 1 species
UGGCAGGAGCGACAGGAAUCGAACCCAUAUCCUCAGUUUUGGAGACUGAUGCUCUACCGUUGAGCUACGCUCCC